AGACUUUUGAAGGCAAUGGGACUGUGACAUCUGUCACCCCAUUGAUAGCCAGGCUAGAUUCCACUAAUCUGGCUGCCUAGGUGAUGUCCCCUUCCUCCCUCCUAGCUCUGUAUUCAUCCUUUCCAAAGAUAUACAUUCAGCAAAGAAGACAACCUUCCUUGAUAAAGGAGGAUCCUUCUAUGGCCAAGAGUAUGCAAGUAGCUGUGUUCCCCUGCUGGAACCUUAAGAUAAGCUCUCAAGCCCAUUUGUAGGAGACUGUUGGGGGUUAGGGGUCAAGGUUCUCAGACUUCUGCUACAUCCAACUAAGGUGCUACAUGUGUAGUCUCCUUUCUU
ensembl:misc_RNA 7SK 7SK RNA